rnacentral:rRNA from 1 species
UACGUAGGGUGCGAGCGUUGUCCGGAAUUAUUGGGCGUAAAGAGCUCGUAGGCGGUCUGUCGCGUCGGAUGUGAAAGCCCGGGGCUCAACCCCGGGUCUGCAUUCGAUACGGGCAGACUGGAGUGUGGCAGGGGAGAUCGGAAUUCCUGGUGUAGCGGUGAAAUGCGCAGAUAUCAGGAGGAACACCGGUGGCGAAGGCGGAUCUCUGGGCCAUGACUGACGCUGAGGAGCGAAAGCGUGGGGAGCGAACAGGAUUAGAAACCCGCGUAGUCC